rnacentral:rRNA from 1 species
CCCUUAGAUGUCCUGGGCCGCACGCGCGUUACACUGAUGCAUUCAACGAGCUUAUAACCUUGGCCGAGAGGCCUGGGCAAUCUUGUUAACGUGCAUCGUGAUAGGGAUAGAUUAUUGAAAUUAUUAAUCUUGAACGAGGAAUUCCUAGUAAACGCAGAUCAUCAAUCUGCAUUGAUUACGUCCCUGCCCUCUGUACACACCGCCCGUCGCACCUACCGAUUGGAUGGUCCGGUGAAGCCUCGGGAUUGUGGUUCUUGCCGCUUUAUUGUAGCGUGACCGCGAGAACUUGUCUAAACCUUAUCAUCUAGAGGAAGGUGAAGUCGUAACA